rnacentral:rRNA from 1 species
UGGGGAAUAUUGGACAAUGGGCGAAAGCCUGAUCCAGCGACGCCGCGUGGGUGAAGAAGGCCUGCGGGUUGUAAAGCCCUUUCGGUGGGGAAGAAAAGCCUCGAGCUAACACCUCGGGGUCUUGACGUAACCCAUAGAAGAAGCACCGGCUAACUCUGUGCCAGCAGCCGCGGUAAUACAGAGGGUGCGAGCGUUAAUCGGAAUUACUGGGCGUAAAGCGCGCGUAGGCGGCUUUGCAAGUCGGGUGUGAAAUCCCCAGGCUUAACCUGGGAACUGCAUUCGAGACUGCAUUGCUAGAGUAUGGGAGAGGGAAGUGGAAUUUCCGGUGUAGCGGUGAAAUGCGUAGAUAUCGGAAGGAACAUCAGUGGCGAAGGCGGCUACCUGGACAAAUACUGACGCUGAGGCGCGAGAGCGUGGGGAGCAAA